rnacentral:misc_RNA from 1 species
AACGCACCUUGCGCUCCUUGGUAUUCCGAGGAGCAUGCCUGUUUGAGUGUCUUGAAGUCAUCAACCCCUCUGGUUUUUCGAAUCCAGGGACGGUUGGAUAUGGGGGCCUGCUGCCGCAAGGCUGCUCCCCUCAAAUGUGUCGGUUGGACCUGUGGGUCGGACUCGUUGGGCGUUGUAUCAUCCUCGCUCUGACUGAGAUGUUCCCCUAUUGUUGUCCUCCCUCGACUCGCCCUUGGAGUGGCAGUCAACAUUUUGAAAUCUGACCUCAAAUCAGGUAGGACUACCCGCUGAACUUAA